rnacentral:rRNA from 1 species
CACCACCUCAAGUGUUCAGGAUGAUUAUUGGGCCUAAAGCAUCCGUAGCCGGCGCUGUAAGUUUUCGGUUAAAUCUGUACGCUCAACGUACAGGCUGCCGGGAAUACUGCAGCGCUAGGGAGUGGGAGAGGUAGACGGUACUCGGUAGGAAGGGGUAAAAUCCUUUGAUCUAUUGAUGACCACCUGUGGCGAAGGCGGUCUACCAGAACACGUCCGACGGUGAGGGAUGAAAGCUAGGGGAGCAAACCGGAUUAGAUACCCGAGUAGUCC